CCCCGUGCAAAAAGUCCUAGUGCAAAGUCCUAGUGCAAAAGGUCCUCGUGCAAAUAAUGCUUGUGCAAAUGAUGCUUGUGCAAAUGAUCCUCGUGCAAAGAGCCUCAAUGCAGCCCCCCCUCAAUGCUGGGCUAUAGGAUGGUGUACCCCCCCCCCCGUGCAAUGCCUGGGCUAUAGGAUGACAUGCAGCAGCCCCCCCCGUGCAAUGCAAUGUGCUUGUGCAAAGCCCUUGUGCAAAAGGUCCUUGUGCAAAAGAUCCUUGUGCAAAAGGUCCUUGUGCAAAGAGCCUCAAUGCAGCCCCCCCCCCAAUGCUGGGCUAUAGGAUGGCAUGCAGCCCCCCCUCGUGCAAUGCAAUGUGCUUGUGCAAAGUCCUAGUGCAAAAGGUCCUCGUGCAAAAGGUCCUCGUGCAAAGAGCCUCAAUGUAUAUCCCCAGUGCUGGACCAUAGGAUGACAUGCAGCCCCCCCUCGUGCAAUGCAAUGUGCUUGUGCAAAGUCCUCGUGCAAAUGAUGCUUGUGCAAAAGGUCCUCGUGCAAAUGAUGCUUGUGCAAAUGAUCCUCGUGCAAAGAGUCUCAAUGUAUACCCCCAAUGCUGGGCUAUAGGAUGGCAUGCAACCCCCCUCGUGCAAUGCAAUGUGCUUGUGCAAAGCCCUCGUGUAAAAGGUCCUCGUGCAAAAGGUCCUCGUGCAAACGAUCCUCGUGCAAAGCGUGGUGCUUCAAUGCAGCCCCCCACUGUCCUGCAGUGCCAUGCAGCUCCCCCUCGUGCAAUGUCCUCGUGCAAGGCCCCGAUGCAGCUCUAUCACCACGUCCCUCGUGCAAGGCCGGGCCGUGGUGCAACGCGUCGUCCUCGUGCAAAGCCCACGUGCAAAGCGUCCAUGCACAGCCCCCAGUGCAGGGUCCUGUCGUGCAACGUGGGGCCUCUUCAUGCAAUUCAUCCUCCCGGCCAACAGGGGGCGCCCUCCCCACUUAUAAACCCCCCCAUAACCCCUAUAACACCUAUAACCUCCCUAUAACCCCUUAUAAACCCUAUAACCUCCCUAUAACACCCUAUAAACCCUAUAACCCUCCUAUAACCCCCCCUAUAAGCCCUAUAACCCCUAUAACCCCCCCUAUAACCCUCUAUAACCCCCCAUAACCCCCUAUAACCCCUAUAGCCCCCCCUAUAACCCCUAUAACCCCCCCUAUAGACCCUAUAACCCC
rnacentral:lncRNA from 1 species